GACGGAGGGUGCAAGCGUUGUUCGGAAUUACUGGGCGUAAAGGGCGCGUAGGCGGUCCGCUAAGUUCGGCGUGAAAGCCCCUGGCUCAACUGGGGAACGGCACUGGAUACUGGCGGACUCGAGUACCGGAGAGGAGAGUGGAAUUCCUGGUGUAGCGGUGAAAUGCGUAGAUAUCAGGAGGAACACCGGUGGCGAAGGCGGCUCUCUGGACGGAUACUGACGCUGAGGCGCGAAAGCGUGGGGAUCAAAC
rnacentral:rRNA from 1 species